AAUAGAUACCCCGGUAGUCCACGCCGUAAACGAUGAGUGCUAAGUGUUAGGGGGUUUCCGCCCCUUAGUGCUGCAGCUAACGCAUUAAGCACUCCGCCUGGGGAGUACGGUCGCAAGACUGAAACUCAAAGGAAUUGACGGGGGCCCGCACAAGCGGUGGAGCAUGUGGUUUAAUUCGAAGCAACGCGAAGAACCUUACCAGGUCUUGACAUCCCGCUGACCGCUAUGGAGACAUAGCUUUCCCUUCGGGGACAGCGGUGACAGGUGGUGCAUGGUUGUCGUCAGCUCGUGUCGUGAGAUGUUGGGUUAAGUCCCGCAACGAGCGCAACCCUUGAUCUUAGUUGCCAGCAUUUAGUUGGGCACUCUAAGGUGACUGCCGGUGACAAACCGGAGGAAGGUGGGGAUGACGUCAAAUCAUCAUGCCCCUUAUGACCUGGGCUACACACGUGCUACAAUGGAUGGUACAAAGGGCUGCGAGACUGCGAAGUCAAGCCAAUCCCAUAAAACCAUUCUCAGUUCGGAUUGCAGG
rnacentral:rRNA from 1 species